UAGCGGAAGGCGGCUCUCGGUCAUGUGACCUGGAGAUCAAAGGGGAGAUCCUCUUGACCUCUUUCUUCCAAACACAGAGGGAGCCCCCCAACCCCCCAACUCACUUCCAGGCCUCUCAGCAGCUCUGCAGGGCCCAGAGGCCACUCCGUGUGCUUCUGCCGACUCGGUUGUGACCGGACAGGCAGCAUCUCUCCAGGUGCUCAACAAACUCCAGGGUGACGGCAUCGCUAAGUUUUGGUUUGGGUUGAGAAGAAUGUUUGAAAAUCUAAACAUCCAAGCGUUCAACCGCAUGAAUCAUCGGGGAACGAAACUCUCCAGCAUAAUCCAUCUACUGGAAGGUCAUGGGAUUUCAGUGCUAAAACAGAAAAUAUCAGGCAAACCAGAAGGAUUUGGUCACCCUAAAUUUAAUGUGGUUGAACGAGCAGUGGCCUGAGCCUCAGAAGCAGAUCAAGUAGAAUGAUGGGAACCACCCUGGAGAGGGCAGAG
ensembl:lncRNA